CGCGCGGGGCGGGGCGUCUGGGGGCACCGGAGGCCAUCUUGGGGGCGCUGGGGCUAGUGGCCUGCGGCUGUCCCCCGACCGGGGCUCGCGAGAGCCGCCUGCUUGAGCAUCUCCUCCGCUGCCCUUCACCUGCCCACCAGCGUACUCGCCGUCGUCGGCGCCUCCGUCACCUCUUCUCGCGUCUAUUUUCUGUUUUUCCCAGUCUGGGAUUCUCUCCCCAUCUCCUGUGUUCCACAAUUAUUUUCCAUCUUGACACCUUUUUUUUUUUUUUCUAAUAAUCGUCAUCUUCUAACUCAUGUAGUUUUAAAAAGUCAUUUUCAUCAUUUCGUCUCCCGACCCACGUUGAGCUCCGCCUCGGCGAGGUCUCCUGCCUGUUUGCUGCAGAACGCCCCGGACAGCGGCCGACGGUGAUUAGGUGCUGAUACCUAUUAGCUGAAUGAGUGACUGAGAACCGGACGUGAGUGUACACGCAUCGGAAUGACCAUUCUAAACGGUUGGGGUUUCAACCCCAGGUUGCAAAUCCACGUUUUUUGAGAGUCAGCCUUUCCACGAAUAGGCAUGUGGGUCCCAGUUCCUAGAAAAGAGUAGUCUAGGCUGCUCUGCAAAUUACAGGCUGCGCUGAAACACUGAGGCUGCCUUCCUGGUGUUAACCGUUCAGAUACAUAAAAAAGACUUGGUUUAUGUUGCUGGGCUCUGGAUAGUUCCCUCGUUUAUUUGUUCAACAAAUGUUUAUUGUGAACAUACGCAGGAUUAAAGAGGCAUCAGAACAAUGCAGCCAGCGCCUUCCCGGAGCGCUUUUCUCCCUCUCCCGGCCUUCGGAAGCUAGGUGUGGGCCCCGGAGGGGAAAGUCCACCUGCCGGGGCCCAGCCGAUUUGCGAAGUCUGCAUUCCAGAGCAGGCUUCUAUUGGGGACGGAGCCCAGAAACCGGCCGUGCCCUGGGGAAGAACAGCAGGAAAAGGGAGAAGGGCCCGUGGAACCCUACCAAAUACAUACAGAGACACAAACCCACAUGACACAAGGGGUGGACUGUAGCAGCACCUUCUGUUCAGCUGCCCAGCACCAUCACCUUACUUCCUCUAACAAGGCGUUUUGGAAUUCACUAUUAUGCUCAGUGAAGACCACACUCUUCCCAGGCUGAGCCCAGACAAAGACUAAGCAUGGUUCUUUCCCGAAAGCCACUGCCAGAUGGAUCUUCCUGCAACACCACUUCCAUCCUGCCACUUUCCUCUGAAAAGUCUCCCCACUUCCCUCAGCCUCACAUAGGAAAUCAGUUUGUGAAGCCUUACACAAUCAGGUCUCAACCUACAGCCGCCUGUGCCUGCCCACGCCACCUCACCGACCUUCACUCCCCACCUCGUCUGCACCCGGGCUGUUCUGGUCUCUGCCUGUUCAUCUCAGACAGAACUGGACCACAACCAUGUAUCUGUGGUGGUUUUCGUUCAUUUGUUUUUCAGUACUGGGGAUUAAACACAGGGUCUCCACAUUGAGCAACAUCCCCAGCCCUCAGCCCUUGCCCUCAUUUUUGAGACGGGGUUUUGUUAAGUAGAACUAAGUUUUCCAAGCUGGGCUUGAACUUGAGAUCUUCCUGCUUCAGCCUCCCAUAGUUGUAGGGUUACAGGUGUGUGCCACUAAGCUCAACUUUUCUCUCUCUCUCUCUCCCCCUCCCUCCCUC
ensembl:lncRNA